rnacentral:rRNA from 1 species
CAGUCGCCGCGGUAAUACGUAGGGUGCGAGCGUUAAUCGGAAUUACUGGGCGUAGAGCGUGCGCAGGCGGUUCGUUAAGACAGAUGUGAAAUCCCCGGGCUCAACCUGGGACCUGCAUUUGUGACUGUAUAGCUAGAGUACGGUAGAGGGGGAUGGAAUUCCGCGUGUAGCAGUGAAAUGCGUAGAUAUGCGGAGGAACAUCGAUUGCGAAGGCAAUCCCCUGGACCUGUACUGACGCUCAUGCACGAAAGCGUGGGGAGCAAACAGGAUUAGAUACCCGCGUAGUCCCUGUCUCUUAUAC